UCCCCGGUGAUCUAACGGCCAAGAUUCCUGACUGUUAAUCAGGCUAUGGUGGUUCGAAUCCACCCCGGGGAG
rnacentral:tRNA from 1 species